UAGGUGUUAGACCCUUUCCGGGGUUUAGUGCCGCAGCUAACGCAUUAAGCANUCCGCCUGGGGAGUACGACCGCAAGGUUGAAACUCAAAGGAAUUGACGGGGGCCCGCACAAGCGGUGGAGCAUGUGGUUUAAUUCGAAGCAACGCGAAGAACCUUACCAGGUCUUGACAUCCCUCUGACCGCUCUAGAGAUAGAGUUUUCCUUCGGGACAGAGGUGACAGGUGGUGCAUGGUUGUCGUCAGCUCGUGUCGUGAGAUGUUGGGUUAAGUCNNNNAACGAGCGCAACCCCUAUUGUUAGUUGCCAUCAUUCAGUUGGGCACUCUAGCGAGACUGCCGGUAAUAAACCGGAGGAAGGUGGGGAUGACGUCAAAUCAUCAUGCCCCUUAUGACCUGGGCUACACACGUGCUACAAUGGCUGGUACAACGAGUCGCAAGCCGGUGACGGCAAGCUAAUCUCUUAAAGCCAGUCUCAGUUCAGAUUGUAGGCUGC
rnacentral:rRNA from 1 species